rnacentral:lncRNA from 1 species
GACCCUCCCCAACCCCCCCAUAGCGCACCUGCCCCCAGCAGCCGCUGGCACUGGCCCUCGUAGGUGACGCAGGCCCCGCCGUAGCAGCGCGCCCGCCCGCCGCCGCAGGGCUGCCCAUCCUGCACGAAGGCGUUGGGUGGGCAGCGCCGGGAGCGCCCGUCGCAGAACUCGGGGAGGUCGCACUCGUCCAUGGGCUCCCGGCACGGCUGCCCUGCACGGAGCAGCUGCGGGAGGGCAAAGGGAGAUGAACCGGGACCGGUCGCACCGGCAGCCUGAGAAAAGCAGCUCUGCAACGGGGCUGGGAUGCGGCUGCGGGUGCAGCUGGGCUGGCACACCUGACCCCGUGCACCUGGCCUGCACACCCGUCCCUGCACGCCCAUCCCCAUGCACCUAUCCCUGCACACCCGUCCCCAUGCAUCCAUCCCCAUGCACCUGUCCCUGAACAUCCACCCAUCCCUGCACACCUGACCCCGUGCACCUGGCCUGCACACCCGUCCCUGCACGCCCAUCCCCAUGCCACCACCCCCAUGCACCCGUCCCCAUGCACCCGUCCCCAUGCACCCGUCCCCAUGCAUCCGUCCCCAUGCACACCAGCGCACUCAUCCUUGCACAUCCAUCCCUGCAAAUCUGUCCCUGCACACCCACCUUUGCACACCUGACCCCGUGCACCUGGCCUGCACAUGCAUCCCUGCACGCCCAUCCCCAUGCAGCCACCCCCAUGCACCUAUCCCUGCACACCCGUCCCUGCACACCCGUCCCCAUGCAUCCAUCCCCAUGCACCUGUCCCUGCACAUCCACCCAUGCCUGCACACCCAUCCCUGCGCACCUGUGUCCGUGCACCUGUCCUGCACAUGCAUCCCUGCACGCCCAUCCCCAUGCAACCACCCACAUGCAACCACCCCCAUGCACACCUGUCCUCAUGCACCUGUCCUGCACACCAGUGCACUCAUCCUUGCACAUGCAUCCCUGUAAAUCCGUCCCUGCACACCUGACCCCGUGCACCUGUCCUGCACACCACUGCACUCAUCCUUGCACAUCCAUCCCUGCAAACCCAUCCCUGCGCACUCACCUUUGCACACCCGACCCCGUGCACCUGUCCUGCACACCCGUCCCUGCACACCUGUCCCCAUGCAUCCAUCCCCAUGCACCUGUCCCUGCACACUCACCCCUGCACACCCAUCCCUGCGCACUCACCUUUGCACACCUGACCCCGUGCACCUGGCCUGCACAUGCACCCAUGCCUGCACACCCAUCCUCAUGCAACCACCCCAUGCACCCAUCCCUGCACACCUGUCCUUGCACACCCAUCCCCAUGCAACCACCCCCAUGCACACCUGUCCUCAUGCACCUGUCCUGCACACCAGCGCACUCAUCCUUGCACAUCCAUCCCUGCAAACCCAUCCCUGCGCACCUGUCCUGCACAUCUGUCCCAGUGCAACCAUCCCCAUGCACCCAUCCUGCACACCUCUCCCCAUGCAUCCAGCCGUGUACCCAUCCCUGCACACCUGUCCUUGCACACCUGUCCCCAUGCACUCAUCCUUGCACAUCCAUCCCUGCAAAUCCAUCCCUGCACACCCACCUUUGCACACCUGACCCCGUGCACCUGUCCUGCACAUGCACCCAUCCCCGCACACCCGUCCCCGCGCACCCACCCCUUUUGCACUCAUCCUUGCACGCCCACCCUUGCACACCUGGCACUGGUGGCAGCAGGCGUCCCCCGUCGCGCACUCUGCUCCUGGCAGCAGCUGGCAGGAGCUGCUGUUGCAGCAGGGAUCGGUGCACUCCUGCGGGCACGGGGGUCGCGCUGAGCACACGGCGGGCACGGCACCGGCACCGGCACCCACCCGAGGGCCUCUGCCCCCCCCUCCCCGUGCCCACGCACCAGGCUGAGCCCGCAGUCGCAGCUCUCUCCCUGCUCCACGAAGCGGUUCCCGCAGACCGGGGUCCCCGCCAGGCGCUGGGGGUCGGGGGCAUCGUACAGGCACCAGCCCAGCCCCCGCUGCAGGCUGCGCUCCAGCUCCAGGCGGCUGCAGUUGCUGAAGCUCAAACCGGGAGUCAGGCUG